AGUUCUUUUCAGUAACGUCCUGUAUUAUAAUACAGAUACUUAUAUACUUGUAUAAUCUAGUUCUGUUUUGCAAAAACGUUAACCUUCAGGGAAACAAAAAAAGGGAGAACAAUUCGUUUUUAUAUAAAAAAUGUUAUAUUUCCUGGCUUGGUGAAGUGAAUUUACGAUAUAUUAAAAAAAAUAAGCCUACAACUGUAUAUGUAGAAAAAAUUUCGUGCCUUUAUAUCUCUUUACUGAAACUCUGCACUUUUUUUGGAGUUUAUACUUUAAUUUUACUACAUAUACUUACAUAUGUAUACAUGUAUGUAAUUUUUUAAACGUAUCUGCGCCAUAGGUACUUUGUCGAAAGUCACGAGAGCAAAUUAUUGAACUGUGUAAUGAGCCGCAGAAGUCAAUUGAGUCUGGGAAACAGUGAUUAAUGAAAAACUUGAUGGAUUCUGAAAGCACACGAAAACGAAAGAGAACAGAAUUUCUUGAAAAGGCCCUACAACAUCUAGACCAAGUCAAAAAUUCAAGGCAAGAACGCAAUGAUGCUGACGUAUUUGCUGAAUCUUGUCCGCAGAGCAGCAAAUAUUUGCAAAACGAGGUAUUGAGGAGAUUCUACUAUAUGGACAAUUAGAAUUAAAUGAUAUGAAAUAUCGACGUUUAUUUUACUACAAUGAACAGUAACAACUUGCAGCAAUGGUGGGAAAAUACUUAUCGCCAUCAUCAGUUGAAACAUGCUUUCAAUUCUCACGAUACGCACGGUCUCCAGAUACCUCCACUCAUCGCAAAGGACCCUCGUUCAGAUAUAUUAAAGCAGAUCGGUAACAAUGAUUAUGACGCCUUUUUAAAUUACACUAUAACGCAUUCUCCGAUUGACAUUCCUGACUCAGAAGAUAACCUCUUAUCUUCAGUUACGUUAUUAAUUAUGGUCAUACUAUUUGGACUAGUUGUAUUUGGUGGCGUAUUAGGUAAUGCAACAUUAUUGUUCACGCUUUGUUCGGCAUCAUCAGUGCGAUUGCGAAAUCCGCUUUUAUUAGCUGUUUGCCUUGCCGACUUGUUAGUUACGGGCAUUUCUGCACCAAUGACUUUAUUAAAUGUAGCCCUGAAUCGUAAGACGAACACUUUACCACUGAUAAUAUGCAAAGUAAUUCAUUAUGUGCAGAUAAUGCCAGUGGCUGCAAGUACAAUUUCUUUCUUCAUGCUUUCACUUGAUCGUUAUGCCACAGUAAGACACCCAUGUUUGUCACAGUUACGUCAGCGUCGAUAUUUGCAUAUUUCAUUAGCGCUCUUUUCAUGGAUCGCAUCAGCUGUUCUCAGCGCGCCAUUUCUGUACACAUACAACAUAAUUGCGAAAAGUGCAAUAACAAAUCUCGAUGACAGCAACAAAUAUGCAACAUCGUCUGAAAUUUUGCUAGGUACCAAUGAAAAUGCUAAAGUGGGACCGUUUUUGCUUACCACCACAGCUUUACCAAACGUCAGAAUAAGCUGUACUUCCGACCUCGGGUCCAGUACAUUUUUAAUUUCCUUUAUUAUUUUCCAUACCUUUGCCGUAUUUAUUAUACCCGGAUGUGGUGUGCUAUUAAACCAUUAUGGUGUACGUCAGAAGUUAUGUGCACUUUCUUUAACAGCGCGAGCCGCUCAUGGUGAAUUACCGCUUCCUAUGCCCAUACUCCGUAGACAAACGCACAUGGUUAUUGUAACUGGAAUCGCCAACGCUCAGCAGACAACCGCAUGUCCGGUCACAAAUGACCCCUCUAAUGGACCUGAUAUACAAAUGCAAAACUUAAAUCCAGGUUCCAUUAUCGGAAAAAGUCAUGAUUUCAUCAAAUCUUCUAACCCCAUAUCACCAAGGGCAAUGCGUGAAAUUCGGGCACAUUCCCAACGUCAACGUAUUAACCAUAAAACAUGUUUGCAUGGUCCAGCUGCGCCUGGUAUACCAUUACCACGAACUUCAACUCUCCACUCGAGACGACGCCUAGCCAAUGUACUCAUAGCAUCAGCCAUACUAUUUAUUUUAUGUUGGGCGCCCCACGUAUUUUGCAUAUUUUACACAAGCUUCGGUUAUAAGCAUUAUUGUUCUAAGACUUCCAAGUACUUUCAUUUGCUACUAGGUACAGCUUGCAAAAUUUUAAUGCUAGCAACGUUUAAGUUUAAUUUCAUGAUCAAACAAGCGAUUUUUAACAAAUGCCACAGUCAUGUUUUCAGCAGACAAAGUUUCGAUCAUAGGCUGUGUUCGAGCUGCUUAAUAAUAAUGGCCGACUUCAUAAACGCAAGUUGCGAUGCAUAACUCGAAAAAAUGCGUAUGAAAUGCAAAGCUGAUUUUCAACGCAACUCUGCGUUGCAAAUAAAUGCUUUGCAUAUAAAUGACGUUUAGGAACGUCAUCGUAAAACUCAUACAUAAAACAUAUGUCAAAUAAUGACUGUUGUUACAAAUAACGAAAUUUUGAGUUAAUAUGGACGAGAGAAGAAAUUAUUCAUUAAUUUUAUUAGCAAAUGCUGAAGAAUUAGCUUUAGCUAAUACUUCAAAUAUUAAGUUAAUAAAAAAACUAAUUGAAAAGAAAAAAGAAGCGGCAGUUUUAUUAAGGACUUUGAAUUUAACGAAAAGAAAGGUGGUGAAAAAUAAAAAUUUUUGUGGAUCUAUUGUAUUGAUGGAAGACGAUAUAUUUUAUUCCCAUUUUCGAAUGCGAAGAAGCACGUUCAAGAGGCUGAUGACUAUGCUACAACCAAAGUGGACCGAAUCAUCAACAGGUCGUACUGCAGUUUCCAUGGAAAAGGCAUUGUAUUUGACAAUUUGGAAGCUUGCCAAUAAUACAUCAUUUCGACAAAUUAGUAACAGAUUUGAUGUAGGAAUGGGCGCCACUUAUAAAGCAUUUAUUAAAAUCCUCAAACUUAUAUGUCGUCUAAAAUCGACAAUAAUAAAAUUUCCAACUACUACUGUAGCUCAAAAAAAGAUCGCUGAUGGGUUUUCUCAGCGUCGCCACAAUAUAUGUAUUUCCUUUUGUAUUAGGAUGCAUUGAUAGAACGCACAUUACCAAAUCACAACCAAAAAAUGAUGCAAUAAGUUUCUAUAACAGAAAAGGGACGUUUUCCAUCAUUGCACAGGUAAUUACACAUGUAUACUCAUCUCUUGUCAAAUUAUAAUAAGCAAUUUGUAUAGGCCAUUGUUGACAGCGAUAUGAAAUUUCUGGACGUCUUUGUCGGCUGUCCCGGACGAUGUCAUGACGCAUCAGUGUGGCAAAGGAGCCCAUUUCGUAGAGCAGUAGUAAGCGGUGAAUUAAAAAUUCCACCAAAUCACCACUUCUUAGGCGACGCAGCUUAUCCGCUAGAAACGUUUCUCAUGGUGCCAUAUCGGGAUAAUGGUUUUUUAACAUCGCAGCAGAGCAAAUUUAACACUAUUUUAAGCACUAACCGAGUUUUUGUUGAACAGGCGUUCGGGAUAUUAAAACAAAAGUUCAGAAUU
rnacentral:misc_RNA from 1 species